GGUCUCGUGACCUUGACCCAGUUUGGAACAUAAAACGAGUUUGAUGCUCGACAGGCUCGACUGUUUGACUUCUGAUCGUGAAUCACUGAAUCUUGUGAUACCGAGUGGAAGUUCGCUAAUCAUUUUGAACUCCGUUAUUGUUUUCAGUUUCAACUUUUCAUUUCCUAUGUGUGGUGAGAUGUCUGAUUAUAAUCACGAGUGAUUACGACGAAAGCGUGGUGAUAGAAGAACAAGAAACGCCAAUAGUUAUGAUUGCGAAGAAGACGAUAACGAAUACUAUAGCUAUUACCGCCGAAAAAGACACCACAGCUGUUCUAUGUAUACGAUUGUGAGAAUUUCGAAUGAAAAAAGUGUAAAGUUGAUGACUAUCUUAUGAGUCGUUCGUCUCGAUUAAUCCGGUGAUUCUGACCAACAACGUAUCAAAGUUACCGGAAAAUGGCUUCUGUCGCUGUCGCUGCUGUUUUAUGGAAUCACAUCAACAUAUUUACCUGAAGCUGUUCAUGGUGUAGAUCAGAAAUGUGCUCUGCGCAAGAAAGUUAUCGAAUUGGUCGAAGAAUUACACCUACAGAAACCCAUCGCCGAGCAAAUCAGUAACUAUGUUCGUAAAAUGGCGAACGAAAUGACUGCCUGGGUGACUGCUGGGUAUCGUAUCAUUAUAGAACCGUAGAACGACGUUAAACGAUGUUCUCGAUCACAUCAGGAGGAGGAUACUUCCACAGAUCACACGAGUUGUUACAAAAAUCCUUCGAUUUACUAUUGUUGUUAUAUUUUCGAAACGUUUAAACGUUCGAACGUCGUUCAAAUGUGUAUCGAUCGUUUUCUCACCUCAGAUGAAGAUAACAACGCCCUGAAGAAGCAAUUGAUCGCCGAUACAAUGGAGCCGAAACUGAUGCAAAAGACAACGACGUAUCGUAUUUGCCAGCUGUAUAAUAAUGUGGCAUUUCGGAAAUGAAGAUUCCAUAAAACAGUGUUUGAAAACUCGUUAAAUUUGCAAUUGCUUUUCAUCAUUAGGUAUCCGCAGUAUUUUAGUGGUGUUAAGCCGCCAAGCCUGAAGUAGAUACGAUUCUAAGUAGUUUAAUCAAAGCCAACGAAAUCGCCAACGCCAUCACUGAUCUUGGAUUUCCUACUAAUGUUAUUAAUGACCAAGACUGUCGAAAUUAUGAGUUGUUACUGCUCCAGCCUUUACCGGUGACCGUUCUGCAGAAUUCUGAUACGCAUUUUAAUCCGAUUCAGAUUCAGAUAUUUCACUGUCUACAUCAUACUGAUAAUAAUGUGUUAACUUGAAGCGCCAACCGGUUCCGGAAAAACAACAGUAGCAGAAAUUGCUUUCUUCAGAGUGUUCGAAGAUAUAAUCCCGAUGCUAAAGUGGUUUAUAUUGCUCCUUUUUGAAAGCUCUCGGUAAAAGAACGUAUAAGAGAUUGGAAACUAUAAGAUUUCAAAAGAAACUGAAAAAAGAAGUUGUCGAGUUGACGGGUGAUGUUACGCCGCCCGACAUACAAGCCAUCUCAUCCGUAUCCAUAAUCGUAACAACGCCUGAAAAAUUGGACAGUAUUUCACGUAGUUGGCAAACACGUACUUAUGUGAAAAAAGCUCUGUUGGUGAUAGACGAAAUUCAUAUUUUGGGAGAAGAUCGUGGACCGGUAUUGGAAGUAGAUAAUUGUUUCUCGAACAAAUUUCAUCGGUUCUCAUACCGAAAAGAAUGUUCGUAUUGUUGGAUUAUCGACUGCUUUGGCCAAUGCGCAAGAUUUAGCCAAUUGGUCAAGAAUAAACGAAGUACGGGAAUUUUUUCCAUCAUUCGAUGGGAAUGUAGUACAAUUUUAGACCAUCUGUUACCUGUUAGACUCGUGGGCUCGUGCAUAGCGCUUUCCCGGACAAAUAUUGCGCACGAAUGGCUUCCAUGAAUAAUCCAGUUUUCUAAGCUAUCAAACAGUAUUCGAUUUCUCAGUCUGUUUUGGUUUUUGUGUCUUCUCGUAGACAGACUCGUCUGAUCGUCUUACUGCGAUGGAUUUACUUGCACAAUUGGCCUUCGAAAAUAAUCCUAAGCAGUGGCUUAAAAUCAAAGAUAACGUAAUAUGGAUAUCUCGACCGAUUUGGAAUUAAUCAUUUAUGUCGACAAGAUCAUAUAGUCCGGCAUAUGACAAUAGAAGUAAGUGCACCCCCCCCCCGCUGAUCCUCCGGGACAACUUUUUUCUUAAAGGGGACAUCCUAAGGAACAUUUCAAAGCAAACUUGCCAAAAAAAAGUUGGCCUUACUUACAAAAUGGCGGCCAU